UACGGAGGGGGUUAGCGUUGUUCGGAAUUACUGGGCGUAAAGCGCACGUAGGCGGACUUUUAAGUCGGGGGUGAAAUCCCAGGGCUCAACCCUGGAACUGCCUCCGAUACUGGAAGUCUUGAGUUCGAGAGAGGUGAGUGGAAUUCCGAGUGUAGAGGUGAAAUUCGUAGAUAUUCGGAGGAACACCAGUGGCGAAGGCGGCUCACUGGCUCGAUACUGACGCUGAGAUGCGAAAGUGUGGGGAGCAAACAGG
rnacentral:misc_RNA from 1 species